rnacentral:lncRNA from 1 species
UUCUGACGGGCGUAUGAGCCAUCAUCCUCCAGUCAGCAUCAUGGACGGUACUAGAUGCAGCAGCGGGACCUUACCCCUGCUCUCGGCUAUGGUCAGUGAUGAGCUCCCCCAUCCCCCCCUAGCUCUCUCCUUUGCCCUCACAAUUUUUUUUAUGAUCCUGUUUAUUCUCAGAUCAAAAUCAAUGGGACAUGAUGCACCAUAAGAAUAAGAUGUUUGCCUAUUUUCAAAUGACGAGUUGUUUCAGAGUUGUUAGAAUAAGUGGGCCCUCAUUCUUUUCUGUUUGAAUUAGAUUUGCUUGUUCGGAAUUUUGCAGGCAUGUGCUGUGAUUUAUUGAUCUGGUCUUGUUUUGUUUUCAGAGACGCCUGGUGAUGUAUCAAAUUCUGUCCUGCAAAAUAAAGGAGCGCUGAGGAUGAUGGUUUUCAUGUUGCCUUGGAUCAUGCUGGUUCGGUAGUGGCCUCUAAUAUGUCAGGUAAGAUCUUGGGGUAUUAUAUUCUCUGAUUCUCCAUUAGAUUGUCGGCUCAUUGCAGGAUUUGUCUUGUUGUGUUGGGUUAGUUGUGAUGCGUGUCGCCUAUAGGGAUACUCUGUGGCCGCGGGCCAUGCGUGUGCCUAUGCAUGCUAGGUAAUAUUUGUGUUCAUCCAUGCAAGAGGAAAGUAACUUAAUAGUUUGAAAUAAAAAUGAUUCCGAGAAUAUUCGGUCAUGGUGCAGUAUUCUUAGGCUAACUUAUUAUUUCUUGUAGAAGCUAGAAAGAUAUGUCUAGAUAAUAAAUGUACAUAAAAUUUGGUACGUAUAGUUUCAAUCAUUUGCAUUUCACUUUCAGUUAUGUGUAGGUUUCUAGCAUGCCUUUAUUCGAGGUCUUUGCCAAGUGGUGUGUGGCUGAAUUAGAUGGCAGUUGUUCCAUCGGUUGUUGCUGGUCAUAUAGAGUUUACCUUUGAUUUCCUAUAUGGUGUACUUGGGUCCAGUUCUCUUCAGAAAAUUUGAUGUAGUUUUCUACAAUAAUUAGCCUGAUUGGUAUUAUUUGGUGACCUAUGAAGUUGUAUAGCUAUCUUGUAGAAGGAACCAGUAAUCUGCCAAAAGUAGAGCCAUGAUAACUGCAUUCAGUGAAGACUGUAUUACAAGAAUUUUCGAUCAAUAAUAAAACCAUGGUUUUCAGUAGUGCUUGUACAAUGAAAAGGGAUAGUCCCAAGAUUCAAGUUUGUUCACCAGAGUGGCUUUUUGAUUAGUUUUUGCUUUUGUUUCAAGUGCCAAUCGAGGAACCAUGGCAAGUACAAGCUUUAUGCUACCAUGAGGGUAAAUUCUGCAUCACUUAUUAAUCUUUGCUAUACAUUGAAGAUGCAAAAAAAGAAAAGAAAUAGAUGGUCCCCAAUAUAGUUGUCCGGGGACAAUGAACAAAGGGUAUCUCUUCAUGAAAUGUAUGGUACUUCCAUCAUGGAGGUGCCGUCUUGCCCCUGCAGACCUAUCAUCUUGCCUGGAGGUGCGGGCUGACAAUCAUGGGGAAGUAAUAAGUGUAGUGGCCAUCGACCGGGGGCGGGGAGAAGAUGAUUGGAACUUUUUGGGAUGACAAAAUUUGAGAGAGAGGAGAUGGUACUGCUCCUGAUUGUUGCUGAUGAUGUCUACGGGAGAGAGAUUGGGAACGCGAUUUGUCAUAUGCAUAUCAAUGUAUAGCUACCAACGGACUGCUCUGAAUUUCUGGUAGUUAUCGAAGGAUAGAGGAUUAUUCAGUGAUUGAACCACCCAACUGUUUCUUUAUAUCUGACUUGCUAAGUGUUUAGGUGUUUAGGUGCACACGUCUGAUGUGAAACUGAAAUUAAGAGCUGAAAAUAAUAUAUUUUGUGCACAAUAAGAGAUGCAAGUAUUUGCCAAUCUGAAUUGAUUAACUCGGUUCUCAAAAAAGAAUGAAUUGAUUAACUCAAGAGCAACAAUACCAUGUCCUUAUUAAUAACAAAUACCAAGAUAAGCUGGGUACUGAAGUCAUAUUGAGUUACUGACACAACCCCAUAAUGAAUGAGAUGUGAACCAAGUCUUGAUACGUAUGACACAACUCUGUAGCAAACUUGCUACUUUGGUUUCUGAAGCUUAGUGCAUACGAUUUCUGGGCACUGGAGCCAUACUGACACAGCCCCAUAACGAAUCUUCCACCAUGCACUUCAUUUGAACCAUAUGUAGUUUAUAUUCGAGGGUUCAUGUGCUGGAGCGAUAAAUCAUUGCAAUCUUGACUAUUGUAUACUGCUUUGGAACCUUGCCGAGCGCAAAUCUGCAAAGCCAUGUGUGUUAUUUUCUGAUCCUACAAUUAUUUUUUAAGACAAUACAUGAUUGACCACGUUUAACCAGUUGGUUCAUGUAUGUUCAUUAAAGAGCAGAGAAGAUUUGUUGAGAAGAGAAACAAAACGCUGUACUAGCGACAGGGUAGUGUUGGGGAACGUAGUAAUUUCAAAAAAAAUUCUACGCACACGCAAGAUCAUGGUGAUGUAUAGCAACGAGAGGGGAGAGUGUUGUCCACGUACCCUCGUAGACCGAUAGCGGAAGCGUUUAACACAACGCGGUUCAUGUAGUCGUACGUCUUCAUGAUCCGACCGAUCAUGUACCGAACGCACGGCACCUCCGAGUUCAGCACACGUUCAGCUCGAUGACGUCCCUCGAACUCCGAUCCAGCCGAGUGUUGAGGGAGAGUUUCGUCAGCACGACGGCUGUAACACCUUGAGGAUCAUGCUACAGUAACCCUCUGUGAUUAAGCUAAUCAUGUUGCUAAACAGGGCUUGAUCACAUUUGGAACACGUUUCUUUUCAAACUCCUAAUUCAAACUUCAAUUAAAUUUAAAGUGGAAAAUAAAAGUUUUCAAAAAUUUAAACAAAAAUGUUCGGGCCAUGCCAGAAAUUGCACUGAUAAUUAUGGUGGAGAAAACACAUUUUUUAUAAAAUACCUAAAUACUUUUAAAUGAAAUAAAACAGAAAAGAAAAUAAAUAAAUAAAAAGAAAAUACAACAGAAAACAGAACAGACAAAGAAAAAAAAAAGAGGAGACCCUCACCCCCCUGGACCCCUGGCCCGACUGGGCCGACCCCCGGCCCAGCCCACCUCUCCCACUCGCCCCCUUCCCUGUUCCCCCGACCGGGGUCGGAACAGGGGCAGUCCCCGCCGCACCCCCUCGCCGGCGACGGGGAGGAUAAGGACGCCAGCUCCCCCCGCCUCCUCGGGCCUCUCUCCCACUCGCCCCCCGCUCACCUCUCGGCCCCUGCGCCUCUCUCUUUCCCUCCCCAGAUCCGCGCCGCUCUCUCCUUCCCCACGCCCGACGCGGUCGCCGCCGUUCCCGUCGUUCACACGGCCACCGUGCCCACCUCGCCGCCCCACGUUGUCUCCAAGGACCGCCGUCGCCCGCUGCUUCGUCUGGUGCAGCCCGUUGGAGACCGGAGCCCCUACAACGAGCACACCGAGCUCGUCUUCAACUUUGGACGCCGGCGACCCCCCUUCUUCCCCGGCGCCGACCUGCUGCUCCUAAGCCUCUCACCGGCCUCCGUGUGCCACGCGGUGAGCCUCUCCCCCUCCUCCCCUGUCUUUUCUCUCUCGCGCGCCCCCUAGCUGCUUCCCCACGCGCGCCCGAACGCCACGCCGCGGAGCUCGCCGCCGGCGAGGCUCCGGUGACCUGUUGGUCACGGGCUCAAGCCCGUUGCACUCCCCACCUCGCGUAGAUGCCCCCAGCCCCUCCGCUUGCUCGAUAGCCCGCCGUAGCCUCGUUUCCGUCGGGCACCCGUGCGCGCCGCCGCCUCCGCCGCUCGCCGGCGCCGAUUCCGGCCAAGUCCGGCGAAGCCCCGGCCACCCUUGGAUGCGGCGCUGCGAGCCCUUUCGAAUGGGCCUAGCCCCGCUCCUCCCCGAGCCCCGUAGCGCGAUUCCGGCCAACUCCGGCGAGGGGCCGCCGCUGUUUUGGUCGCCGGAGUUGCUCCGGCGCCGGCCGCCGACGUGGCCGGCCUGGGGCCACCCCAGGGCCACUGCCAGUGGGCCCCGUGGGUCCUGGUUGACUGGGUUGACCCAGUCAACUGUUGACUGGGCAGGCCCAGCCACUGACAUGCGGGCCCCGCCGCAAAAUUAAAAAAAAGAGAAAAAGAAAAAUGUUUUAUAAAUAAAAAUAAUUAGAUUAACUAAUCACUCACUGACAUAUGGGGCCCACCCCUCUAAUUAGACUGUUAGUUUAGUUUAAAUUAAUAUUUAACUAAUAGAGGCUGACAUGUGGGUCCCACUGGACCCACCUGUCUGGUUUGACUGGUCAGCCGACCUGUUGACCUGCUGACGUCAGCAUUGCCUCAUGCUGAUGUCAUAAUUCAUUUUUUCUUAAUUUAAAUAAUUCCAGAAAUUCAAAUAAACUUUGUAAAUUCAUAUCUUUUAAACCGUAACUCGGAUGAAAAUGUUUUCUAUAUGAAAGUUGCUCAGAACAACGAGACGAAUCCGAAUACUCAGUCCGUUCGUCCACCACAACCCCCUAACCUAUCGAACUAGCAACUUUCCCCCUCCGGUCCGUCUGUCCGAAAACGCGGAACAUCGGGAAUACCUCCCGGAUGUUCCCCCCUUUCGCCGGUACCACCUACUGUCGCGUUAGGGCGCACCUAGCACCGCUCAUUGUCAUGUCACGCAUCGUCAUGCUUAUGUUUGCAUUGUAUUUACUGUUUCACCCCCCUCUUCUCUUCGGUAGACUACGAGACCGACACUGCUGCUGACCAGUUCGACUACGGAGUUGACGACCCCUCCUACUUGCCAGAGCAACCAGGCAAGCCCCCCCUUGAUCACCAGAUAUCGCCUAUGCUUCUCUAUACUGCUUGCAUUAGAGUAGUGUAGCAUGUUACUGCUUUUCGAUAUCCUAUCCUGAUACCUGCAAUCCUACAUGCUUAGUAUAGGAUGCUAGUUUUCCAUCAGUGGCCCUACAUUCUUGUUCGUCUGCUGUGCUAUACUAUCGGGCCGUGAUCACCUGGGCUGUGAUCACGGGUAUAUACUUAUAUACUAUAUACAUGACACAUGAGAUGACUAAAGUCGGGUCGGCUCGUAGGAGUACCCGCGAGUGGAUCUUUGUGGCGGAGCGACAGGGCAGGUUGAGACUGCCUAGGUGAGAGGUGGGCCUGGCCCUGGUCGGCGUUCGCGGUUACUUAACACGCUUAACGAGAUCUUGGUAUUUGAUCUGAGUCUGGCCAUUUGGUCUAUACGCACUAACCAUCUACGUGGGAGUAGUUAUGGGUAUCCCGACGUCGUGGUAUCAGCCGAAGCUCUUUUGACGUCAGCAACUGAGUGGCGCGCGCCGGAUUGGACUGGAACGCCACUAGGCUAGGUCUGCUUCCGGCCGCGUACGCAACGUGCAGGUGUGCAUAGGGCGAUGGGCCCAGACCCCUGCGCGCAUAGGGUUAGACCGACGUGCUGACCUCUCUGUUGAGCCUAGGUGGGGCUUCGACGUGUUGAUCUUACGAGGCCGGGCAUGACCCAGAAAAGUGUGUCCGGCCAAAUGGGAUCGAGCGUGUUGGGUUAUGUGGUGCACCCCUGCAGGGAAGUUUAUCUAUUCGAAUAGCCGUGUCCCUCGGUAAAAGGACGACCCGGAGUUGUACCUUGACCUUAUGACAACUAGAACUGGAUACUGAAUAAAAUACACCCUUCCAAGUGCCAGAUACAACCCGGUGAUCGCUCUCUAACAGGGCGACGAGGAGGGGAUCGCCGGGUAGGAUUAUGCUAUGCGAUGCUACUUGGAGGACUUCAAUCUACUCUCUUCUACAUGCUGCAAGAUGGAGAUGGCCAGAAGCGUAGUCUUCGACAGGACUAGCUAUCCCCCUUUUAUUCUGACAUUCUGCAGUUCAGUCCACUGAUAUGCCCCUUUACACAUAUACCCAUGCAUAUGUAGUGUAGCUCCUUGCUUGCGAGUACUUUGGAUGAGUACUCACGAUUGCUUCUCUCCCUCUUUUCCCCCUUUCCCUUCUAUCUGGUUGUCACAACCAGAUGCUGGAGUCCAGGAGCCAGACGCCACCGUCGACGACGACACCUACGGCACUGGAGGUGCCUACUACUACGUGCAGCCCGCUGACGACGAUCAGGAGUAGUUAGGAGGAUCCCAGGCAGGAGGCCUGCGCCUCGUUCGAUCUGUAUCCCAGUUUGUGCUAGCCUUCUUAAGGCAAACUUGUUUAACUUAUGUCUGUACUCAGAUAUUGAUGCUUCCGCUGACUCGUCUAUGAUCGAGCACUUGUAUUCGAGCCCUCGAGGCCCCUGGCUUGUAUUAUGAUGCUUGUAUGACUUAUUUAUGUUUUAGAGUUGUGUUGUGAUAUCUUCCCGUGAGUCCCUGAUCUUGGUCGUACACAUUUGCGUGCAUGAUUAGUGUAUGGUCAAAUCGGGGGCGUCACAACGGCGUGGUGACAAUGUUGAUGUUCUACCGACGCAGGGCUUCGCCUAAGCACCGCUACGAUAUUAUCGAGGUGUAAUAUGGUGGAGGGGGGCACCGCACACGGCUAAGAGAUCAAUGAUCAAUUGUCUGUCUAGAGGUGCCCCCCUGCCCCCGUAUAUAAAGGUGCAAGGGGGGGGUUCGGCCGGCCUAAGGGCGCGCCAGGAGGAGUCCUACUCCUACCGGGAGUAGGACUCCCCCCCCCUUUCCAUGUUGGACUAGGAGAGGAAGGGGGAAAAGGUGGAGGGGAGGAAGGAAGGGGGGGGCGCCGCCCCCCUCUCCUUGUCCUAUUCGGACUGGGGGGGAGGGGGGCGCGGCCCUGCCCUGGCCUCCUCUCCUCUCUUCCACCUAGGCCCACUAAGGCCCAUUAAGUUACCGGGGGGGUUCCGGUAACCUCCCGGUACUCCGGAAAAAUCCCGAUUUCACCUGGAACACUUCCGAUGUCCAAACAUAGGCUUCCAAUAUAUCAAUCUUUAUGUCUCGACCAUUUCGAGACUCCUCGUCAUGUCCGUGAUCACAUCCGGGACUCCGAACAACCUUCGGUACAUCAAAACAUAUAAACUCAUAAUAUAACUGUCAUCGUAACGUUAAGCGUGCGGACCCUACGGGUUCGAGAACUGUGUAGACAUGACCGAGACACCUCUCCGGUCAAUAACCAAUAGCGGAACCUGGAUGCUCAUAUUGGUUCCCACAUAUUCUACGAAGAUCUUUAUCGGUCAGACCACAUAACAACAUACGUUGUUCCCUUUGUCAUCGGUAUGUUACUUGCCCGAGAUUCGAUCGUCGGUAUCUCGAUACCUAGUUCAAUCUCGUUACCGGCAAGUCUCUUUACUCGUUGCGUAAUACAUCAUCCCGCAACUAACUCAUUAGUCACAAUGCUUGCAAGGCUUAUAUGUGAUGUGUAUUACUGAGUGGGCCCAGAGAUACCUCUCCGACAAUCGGAGUGACAAAUUCUAAUCUCGAAAUACGCCAACCCAACAAGUACCUUUGGAGACACCUGUAGAGCACCUUUAUAAUCACCCAGUUACGUUGUGACGUUUGGUAGCACACAAAGCGUUCCUUCGGUAAACGGGUGUUGCAUAAUCUCAUAGUCAUAUGAACAUGUAUAAGUCAUGAAGAAAGCAAUAGCAACAUACUAAACGAUCAAGUGCUAAGCUAACGGAAUGGGUCAAGUCAAUCACAUCAUUCUCCUAAUGAUGUGAUCCCGUUAAUCAAAUGACAACUCAUGGCUAUGGCUAGCAAACAUAACCAUCUUUGAUCAACGAGCUAGUCAAGUAGAGGCAUACUAGUGACACUCUGUUUGUCUAUGUAUUCACACAUGUAUUAUGUUUUCCGGUUAAUACAAUUCUAGCAUGAAUAAUAAACAUUUAUCAUGAUAUAAGGAAAUAAAUAAUAACUUUAUUAUUGCCUCUAGGGCAUAUUUCCUUCAGUCUCCCACUUGCACUAGAGUCAAUAAUCUAGAUUACACAGUAAUGAUUCUUACACCCAUGGAGUCUUGGUGCUGAUCAUGUUUUGCUCGUGGAAGAGGCUUAGUCAACGGGUCUGCAACAUUCAGAUCUGUAUGUAUCUUGCAAAUUUCUAUGUCUCCCACCUGGACUAAAUCCCGGAUAGAAUUGAAGUGUCUUUUGAUGUGCUUGGUUCUCUUGUGAAAUCUGGAUUCCUUUGCUAAGGCAAUUGCACCAGUAUUGUCACAAAAGAUUUUCAUUGGACCCGAUGCACUAGGUAUGACACCUAGAUCGGAUAUGAACUCCUUCAUCCAGACUCCUUCAUUCGCUGCUUCUGAAGCAGCUAUGUACUCUGCUUCACACGUAGAUCCCGCCACGACACUUUGCUUAGAACUGCACCAACUAACAGCUCCACCGUUCAAUGUAAACACGUAUCCGGUUUGCGAUUUAGAAUCGUCCGGAUCAGUGUCAAAGCUUGCAUCAACGUAACCAUUUACGAUGAGCUCUUUGUCACCUCCAUAAACGAGAAAUAUAUCCUUAGUCCUUUUCAGGUAUUUCAGGAUGUUCUUGACCGCUGUCCAGUGAUCCACUCCUAGUAAGAGACAUCAUAGAUCGCACCAUAUCUAGUAAAGUACGAUUACGACGUUCGGACACACCAUUACGUUGUGGUGUUCCGGGUGGCAUGAGUUGCGAAACUAUUCCGCAUUGUUUCAAAUGUAGGCCAAACUCGUAACUCAAAUAUUCUCCUCCACGAUCUGAUCGCAGAAACUUUAUUUUCUUGUUACGAUGAUUUUCAACUUCGCUCUGAAAUUCUUUGAACUUUUCAAAUGUUUCAGACUUAUGUUUCAUUAAGUAGAUAUACCCAUAUCUGCUCAAAUCAUCUGUGAAGGUGAGAAAAUAACGAUAUCCGCCACGAGCCUCAAUAUUCAUCGGACCACAUACAUCUGUAUGUAUGAUUUCCAACAAAUUAGUUGCUCUCUCCAUAGUUCCGGAGAACGGUGUUUUAGUCAUCUUGCCCAUGAGACACGGUUCGCAAGUACCAAGUGAUUCAUAAUCAAGUGAUUCCAAAAGUCCAUCAUUAUGGAGUUUCUUCAUGCGCUUUACACCGAUAUGACCUAAACAGCAGUGCCACAAAUAAGUUGCACUAUCAUUAUCAACUCUGCAUCUUUUGGCUUCGACAUUAUGAAUAUGUGUGUCACUACUACCGAGAUUCAUUAAAAAUAGACCACUCUUCAAGGGUGCAUGACCAUAAAAGAUAUUACUCAUAUAAAUAGAACAACCAUUAUUCUCUGAUUUAAAUGAAUAACCGUCUCGCAUCAAACAAGAUCCAGAUAUAAUGUUCAUGCUCAACGCUGGCACCAAAUAACAAUUAUUUAGGUCUAAUACUAAUCCCGAAGGUAGAUGUAGAGGUAGCGUGCCGACGGCGAUCACAUCGACUUUGGAACCAUUUCCCACGCGCAUCGUCACCUCGUCCUUAACCAAUCUUCGCUUAAUCCAUAGCCCCUGUUUCGAGUUGCAAAUAUUAGCAACAGAACCAGUAUCAAAUACCCAGGUGCUACUACGAGGAUUAGUAAGGUACACAUCAAUAACAUGUAUAUCACAUAUACCUUUGUUCACCUUGCCAUCCUUCUUAUCCGCCAAAUACUUGGGGCAGUUCCGCUUCCAGUGACCAGUCUGCUUGCAGUAGAAGCACUCAGUCUCAGGCUUAGGUCCAGACUUGGGUUUCUUCUCCUGAACAACAACUUGCUUGCUGUUCUUCUUGAAGUUCCCCUUCUUCUUCCCUUUGCCCUUUUUCUUGAAACUAGUGGUCUUAUUGACCAUCAACACUUGAUGCUCCUUUUUGAUUUCUACCUCCGCUGCCUUUAGCAUUGCGAAGAGCUCGGGAAUUGUCUUAUUCAUCCCUUGCAUGUUAUAGUUCAUCACGAAGCUCUUGUAGCUUGGUGGCAGUGAUUGAAGAAUUCUGUCAAUGACGCUAUCAUCCGGAAGAUUAACUCCCAGUUGAAUCAAGUGAUUAUUAUACCCUGACAUUUUGAGUAUAUGCUCACUGACAGAACUAUUCUCUUCCAUCUUGCAGCUGUAGAACUUAUUGGAGACUUCAUAUCUCUCAAUACGGGCAUUUGCUUGAAAUAUUAACUUCAACUCCUGGAACAUCUCAUAUGCUCCAUGACGUUCAAAACGUCGUUGAAGACCCGGUUCUAAGCCGUAAAGCAUGGCACACUGAACUAUCGAGUAGUCAUCAGCUUUGCUCUGCCAGACGUUCAUAACUUCUGGUGUUGCUCUUGCAGCAGGCCUGGCACCCAGCGGUGCUUCCAGGACGUAAUUCUUCUGUGCAGCAAUGACGAUAAUCCUCAAGUUAUGGACCCAGUCCGUGUAAUUGCUACCAUCAUCUUUCAACUUUGCUUUCUCAAGGAACGCAUUAAAAUUCAACGGAACAACAGUACGGGCCAUCUAUCUACAAUUAACAUAGACAAGCAAGAUACUAUCAGGUACUAAGUUCAUGAUAAAUUUAAGUUCUAUUAAUCAUAUUACUUAAGAACUCCCACUUAGAUAGACAUCUCUCUAAUCAUCUAAGUGAUUACGUGAUCCAAAUCAACUAAACCAUAACCGAUCAUCACGUGAAAUGGAGUAGUUUUCAAUGGUGAACAUCACUAUGUUGAUCAUAUCUACUAUAUGAUUCACGCUCGACCUUUCGGUCUCAGUGUUCCGAGGCCAUAUCUGCAUAUGCUAGGCUCGUCAAGUUUAACCUGAGUAUUCCGCGUGUGCAACUGUUUUGCACCCGUUGUAUUUGAACGUAGAGCCUAUCACACCCGAUCAUCACGUGGUGUCUCAGCACGAAGAACUUUCGCAACGGUGCAUACUCAGGGAGAACACUUUUAUCUUGAAAUUUUAGUGAGAGAUCAUCUUAUAAUGCUACCGUCAAUCAAAGCAAGAUAAGAUGCAUAAAAGAUAAACAUCACAUGCAAUCAAUAUAAGUGAUAUGAUAUGGCCAUCAUCAUCUUGUGCUUGUGAUCUCCAUCUCCGAAGCACCGUCAUGAUCACCAUCGUCACCGGCGCGACACCUUGAUCUCCAUCGUAGCAUCGUUGUCGUCUCGCCAACUAUUGCUUUUACGACUAUCGCUACCGCUUAGUGAUAAAGUAAAACAAUUACAUGGCGAUUGCAUUGCAUACAAUAAAGCGACAACCAUAUGGCUCCUGCCAAUUGUCGAUAACUCGGUUACAAAACAUGAUCAUCUCAUACAAUAAAAUAUAGCAUCACGUCUUGACCAUAUCACAUCACAACAUGCCCUGCAAAAACAAGUUAGACGUCCUCUACUUUAUUGUUGCAAGUUUUACGUGGCUGCUACGGGCUUAGCAAGAACCGUUCUUACCUACGCAUCAAAACCACAACGAUAGUUUGUCAAGUUGGUGCUGUUUUAACAUUUGCAAGGACCGGGCGUAGCCACACUCGGUUCAACUAAAGUGAGAGAGACAGACACCCGCCAGUCACCUUUAAGCAACGAGUGCUCGCAACGGUGAAACCAGUCUCGCGUAAGCGUACGCGUAAUGUCGGUCCAGGCCGCUUCAUCUCACAAUACCGCCGAACCAAAGUAUGACAUGCUGGUGAGCAGUAUGACUUAUAUCGCCCACAACUCACUUGUGUUCUACUCGUGCAUAACAUCAACGCAUAAAACCAGGCUCGGAUGCCACUGUUGGGGAACGUAGUAAUUUCAAAAAAAUUCCUACGCACACGCAAGAUCAUGGUGAUGCAUAGCAACGAGAGGGGAGAGUGUUGUCCACGUACCCUCGUAGACCGAUAGCGGAAGCGUUUAACACAACGCGGUUGAUGUAGUCGUACGUCUUCACGAUCCGACCGAUCAAGUACCGAACGCACGACACCUCCGAGUUCAGCACACGUUCAGCUCGAUGACGUCCCUCGAACUCCGAUCCAGCCGAGUGUUGAGGGAGAGUUUCGUCAGCACGACGGCGUGGUGACAAUGUUGAUAUUCUACCGACGCAUUAUCGAGGUGUAAUAUGGUGGAGGGGGGCACCGCACACGGCUAAGAGAUCAAUAAUCAAUUGUCUGUCUAGAGGUGCCCCCCUGCCCCCGUAUAUAAAGGUGCAAGGGGGGGUUCGGCCGGCCUAAGGGAGAGGCGCGCCAGGAGGAGUCCUACUCCUACCGGGAGUAGGACUCCCCCCCCCUUUCCAUGUUGGACUAGGAGAGGAAGGGGGAAAAGGUGGAGGGGAGGAAGGAAGGGGGGCGCCGCCCCCCUCUCCUUGUCCUAUUCGGACUGGGGGGGAGGGGCGCGCGGCCCUGCCCUGGCCUCCUCUCCUCUCUUCCACCUAGGCCCACUAAGGCCCAUUAAGUUACCGGGGGGUUCCGGUAACCUCCCGGUACUCCGGAAAAAUCCCGAUUUCACCCGGAACACUUCCGAUGUCCAAACAUAGGCUUCCAAUAUAUCAAUCUUUAUGUCUCGACCAUUUCGAGACUCCUCGUCAUGUCCGUGAUCACAUCCGGGACUCCGAACAACCUUCGGUACAUCAAAACAUAUAAACUCAUAAUAUAACUGUCAUCGUAACGUUAAGCGUGCGGACCCUAUGGGUUCGAGAACUAUGUAGACAUGACCGAGACACCUCUCCGGUCAAUAACCAAUAGCGGAACCUGGAUGCUCAUAUUGGUUCCCACAUAUUCUACAAAGAUCUUUAUCGGUCAGACCGCAUAACAACAUACGUUGUUCCCUUUGUCAUCGGUAUGUUACUUGCCCGAGAUUCGAUCGUCGGUAUCUCGAUACCUAGUUCAAUCUCGUUACCGGCAAGUCUCUUUACUCGUUCCGUAAUACAUCAUCCCACAACUAACUCAUUAGUCACAAUGCUUGCAAGGCUUAUAUGUGAUGUGUAUUACUGAGUGGGCCCAGAGAUACCUCUCCGACAAUCGGAGUGACAAAUCCUUAUCUCGAAAUACGCCAACCCAACAAGUACCUUUGGAGACACCUGUAGAGCACCUUUAUAAUCACCCAGUUAUGUUGUGACGUUUGGUAGCACACAAAGCGUUCCUCCGGUAAACGGGUGUUGCAUAAUCUCAUAGUCAUAGGAACAUGUAUAAGUCAUGAAGAAAGCAAUAGCAACAUACUAAACGAUCGAGUGCUAAGCUAACGGAAUGGGUCAAGUCAAUCACAUCAUUCUUCUAAUGAUGUGAUCUCGUUAAUCAAAUGACAACUCAUGGCUAUGGCUAGCAAACAUAACCAUCUUUGAUCAACGAGCUAGUCAAGUAGAGGCAUACUAGUGACACUCUGUUUGUCUAUGUAUUCACACAUGUAUUAUGUUUUCCGGUUAAUACAAUUCUAGCAUGAAUAAUAAACAUUUAUCAUGAUAUAAGGAAAUAAAUAAUAACUUUAUUAUUGCCUCUAGGGCAUAUUUCUUCAGGUAGAGCACGACGGGUAGGAGGAGGUGAGAAACAGAGUAGAGAGUACUGCACCUACAACAGAGCACGGGAGGAUUGGGAACAGGGUAGAGAACGACGGGGAGGAGGCGAGAAAUAGAGUAGAGAGUACUACACCUACAAUAGAGUGCAGGAGGAUUGGGAGAAGGAAACGAGGAGGAAGAGGCAACGAGAAGAAGAGAGGGGGCAGGAAGAGUGGUGAGGGAUCGCUAGAGUGCGACCAUGGCCUCGCCCUCUCCGAUUGGGAAUUUCAGCCUACUUUGGCAUGCUCACACUUGCGUACUGGAGCUCGCGCUGGAGUAGAAGUAAGGCCGAUAUUGUGGACGCGGAUGGACUGCGGUGCCUCCCGCCUCAGCAGCUCUAAGGUUACACAUUCUCUGCACACACCGCCUGACAGAGUGCACAUAUCAGUGGAGGGCCCAUGCCGAUCUUUUGGUCCUUGAGGUUCUUCUUCAUGAACUUUUUUCGAAAUCCAAAAUUUGGUGCUAGAUCAUACCACAAUGCUUCAUAUGAUGUGGUGCAAAUGUUAAUUGGGAACUCAGUCGUCUUUUAUCUAAUAUAUUUGCAUAUGACUGUUGCAUUUCAAUUCUUUUGCAGAUAGUCCAUGUCAUUGGACAUCGUCGGGCUGGCGGAGAGCAUGUCCGCGGUCGAUCUGGAGGUCGUGUUCGGCUCCAUCGGCCGCGUCACCGGCUCCGAGUUCGUGCGCACUAGCGGCCGCAGCUUCGUCUACAUUGCCACUGCCCCUCCCACAAGGUCAUGACGAAGUUGUUCUCCACCGUAAUCAUCAACAAUCUCAUUGUAACUAUGUUUCUACACCUCGGCAACAAUUAAUAGUAGCAGAUUGGGGUUUUGUUGAUUUUCCACAUUAGCCAUGUGUAUUCUGUGGUUUGAAUGGAGAAGUUUGUGUUUGAGGCGA